AACAGUUUUUAAUUCAUUUCAAAGAUAAUAAUAUGUAUAUAUGUAAUUUAGGCCUAUCUAUAUAUCCAUAUAUACUGUAUAUCAUUAGUUAAAGGUUAUAUAUGUGUAUGCCCCAAUUAAGAUAUUCAGAUAUUAUAUAUAGUUUUAUACACACACGUGUCCGUAUACACACAUUUUACUGUUAAAUUCAUACUUUUUGUGAAUUCCAACAAAAAAAAAAACACAUGUGGAAUGGAAAACCUUCGAUUGAGAAUAGCAAGCCCACAAUGAUUAUUUGGCUGGGAGUUGCAUACCGUAUACUGUACGGUUAUAAUCGUGGAACAUUGAAACUAGGAAAAUGUUUCAAAUUGUCAUAUCUUACCAAAUGUCUGUUAUUCUUGCCUCCGGAAUAAAGAAACAAUAAUUCAAAUAGUAUAA